rnacentral:lncRNA from 1 species
UGGCACAAAUCACAUUAUUUUAAACACAAUUUUAAAAAUUGGCACAAAUUUUACUUUUUUAUAUAUAUUUCUUGAAUUUAUUUCAAUUCGUCGUAAUUUUCCCGCUGUUAUAAAUUUGAACUGCAGGUGCAUGAUAUAAUUAACUGUAGUCUUUCAAAAAAUAUUAUUCAUGUUAUUUGAUGUGUGUGGAGUCCCUACGCACAAACUCGAAUCAAAUUCCGCUCAUCUUUUACACGUGACAUGAUUAGCCACUUCUCAGAAAACUGAUUUAAAAUUAUAUUAAAUCUAUACGAGGUCUAAAAAUCACGAAACUUGACGAGUCUUCAUAUUGACACAUAUGUAGGCUAUGGUAAAAAAUUCAAUCGUUUUCGAGUAAGUUGCGACGUCAGAUGUCCAAAACCCAGACAUCUCCAUAUAUUGGAGUGAAAUAUUGUAGGCUGAGGUGCAAGAAACAAAAAGGCAAAGCCAAGAGUAGACCGCGGCACUAACUGCACAGCUAGAGGCACAGAAGACCGCGUUCGAGGGAGCGCAGAAGCAGAUGGCGGAGAUGAUGGUGAUCAUGCAAAGUCUUGGGCA